AAAAGUUAAAACAAGAACUGAAAAGGCAAGAGAAAAGGAUUGCGUCCUUGGAAACAGAAAUCCAGAUACUGAAGGCUGGUGCUUCUCAUGGCAAUGACCAGCCACAAAUGGAAACAAGUAACAUUUACGAGUUUCAAUCCGAGGAUUUUUUU